rnacentral:lncRNA from 1 species
UCUUCUUCAUGUGCUUCUACUGUCAAUCUCUCGAUUGUAUCUUCUUCAGCAACUAAAGACGUCGUAACACUAACAAGUGGGAAUAUUGUGAUCCUGGAUACUUGAUUAAAAAUAGCUAUGGAAACUCCCACAGCAGCAAGCUCCACAGGUCCUUUAUGCAUGAAAAGUUAAAAAGAAACCAAAUAUUACAUAAUCUACUGGCUCAGUAUGAGCUCAAUUUUUGAUAACUAAUGAAAAAUUUCAUAAUUAACUAAAUGCUCAUGGUAUUCAUGUCUACCAACUAAUGAAGAGGUACAAACGAAAAUGAACAACUGAUAAUGACUGCUUUGUAGGAGAAGGGCAUUGUUUGUUCAUCUAUUAAAUGCAAUCUUUAAUCAGUAUUUUAAGAAAUUAGAAAGAAAACAAAUCUUGUUAUUUUUAUGCCACUUCACAGCUUUUACUUGAUUGCUUAAAAAAUAAAUUAUGUCAAAUCUCACACUAUUAUGUAUACAGCAAAAAGAAACUUAAAUAACAUAUUAAACUUCAUUGUUUCUCGAUGUGAUACAGUCAUUAAAUUACCUUGGAAGCAACAGAACCAAAAUUUUAUGAUGAUUUUAGUACUUUGACAUGCAUCUUAACUUAUAAGCAGCUAGUUCAACACUAUAAUUAGAGGGAAUAAAGUUCUUAUUUUGUAAUCGUCUUUGACUCUUUCCGUGUUCAUUUAAUUCUUCAUGUUGACAUUACCACAGAGUAAUAUAGAUGCAGUGGUAAUAACAUCAUCAGUCAGAAAGGAAAAAAACAUUCAGUGUUACAUAUCCAAAAUUAGUCACGUAUUUGAAUUAAGAUCAAAUAUCAAGUAUAAUGUUUCAGGAAAAUAGGUGGGUAUAGCAAACACAAACCUAUCUGGCCAAUGAAUGCUGUGUCAACCAGAGAAGCUAUUGGGUCUGCUGCUAAAGCCAAUGUUGCAGGAAGUGCAAUCUGCGCUAUUUCAAGGCCUAUUUCAUCCUUCCUGAAGAUAUUCCUGGUCACCCCAUUAUGGGCGAAUCAUUAGUUAGUGAAUUCUUAUUAAUUAUUCACCAUAGAGAUCCUCAUUUCACAUAAUCACAAAACACGAAAAAAAGUGAGGGAGAAAGGAAAAAGAGUUAAAUUUGCAGCACUGAGUACCCCGUGUUCUUGAAUAAUGCAAAAAGAGGCAUCUUGCCCAUGAUCUUCCACAGGUACAGAACAGCGUUUAUGGCCAUGAGUAGAAGGAGGUUUUCCAAAAGCAGCAAAUGGAAUCCAUAUAUAAGGGCCUUGAUAGAGAUAUUUAAAACAGUGAUUGUAUUUUAUAGCAUCUUAGAAUCACAAUGUGAAAUGCUUUGAAUUCAGAAAGAAAGCUUCAGCUAGCAAACAAUGACAGAAUAUAAAGCAGAAGGUCCGACAAGAGAAUCACAAGCAAUGGUUGCCCAGAAAUUAUGUAAACAUAAGGACAUAAAUUCACAAAAAAAGGAAGAAAAAAUUCAAACUACGAAGUUUGGUUAAUCGAGAAAUAAUCGAUUCAUGCAUUUCUCCAUAUCUG